rnacentral:lncRNA from 1 species
GAGGUUGGGGGCCGGAGUGUUUCUUGCUGGUGGUCGGAGGUGAGGCGACUUAGGGAUAGGGUAGGCGAUGGUGGUAGCGGGUGGUUUGAGGAUCAGGUGUUGAGGAGAGUUGGUGAUGGGGUUGACACUUCGUUUUGGUCUGAUAGGUGGAUAGGGGAGGCUCCUCUUUGUGUGCGGUUUAGGCGGUUGUUUGAGUUAACAGAGAAUAAGUCUAUGUCUGUCACCGACUUGCUCUCUGUUGCUUCGGAGCGGUGGGGGAAGGUGUGGAGGUGGAGACGUAGGUUAUGGCAGUGGGAGGAGGAGUUGCUAGAUGAGUGUAGGGCUUUACUUCUUGUAUCUCUCUCUCUCACCUACUUCUCUCUCUCUCAUAAAUCAACUUUACCAAACACAGUGUUAAAGAAAGUAUAGAAAACUCCAUUUAGUGAAACUAAUCAAAAUGGGUGAAUCGAGAACUAGCUCCAUCUCGUUGAUAGCUCUUUCCUGCUAAGAGUGGCCUUUCUCUUAGUGGUAGCUUCAUCUAACAGAUAACUCUUUUCUCUCGACUCAAAACAAAAUGCUUUUGAAGUAUAGUAAACUCAAUUUAAUGAAAAUAAUCAAAAUGGGUGAAUCGAGAACAAGCUCCAUCUCGUUAAUAGCCCUCUCCUCCUAAUGGUGGCCUUUCCAAUGGGGCGGCUCCAUAUAACGGAUAGCUCUUUUCUCUCGACUCAAAAUAAAGUGUAAAACAUUUUCAAUUAGGGAGUUUACCUCUCAUUGAUAGCCAAGUAAGAAUGAGGGAAAGGGUAGACUUUUUUUUUCUUCUUAUGUGAAUGUGUGUUGUUAUUACUCACGUGUGUCUAGUAAGUUUUAUAUAUUAUAUUAUUAUUAUUACUUAUUUAUUUAUUUAUUUUGUUUUUUCCCAUUUACUAAAACUGUGUGUUUCAGCCAGCUCUAUUUCUACCUUCCCCUCAACAACUCACUGACAAAAUCCCCGAAAACCCAUUCAAAUUAUAAAAAGAGUUCAUUUCAACAUCAUUCCUUCUAGUCUCUGACAGAAACACAUGUAACACCCCGUUUUUUCAACUUGAAUUUUUUUAGCAUAAAUCAGAGUAAAACACCUUAAACGGAAUGCUACACUUCUUUCAAACGUAAAUAUAGCAAAAUUACUAUUUAUUUCAAUCAUUUCAUAAUAUCAAAAUUAAAUCUCAAUGCAGCGGAAAAUAUCUUAAUAAAACAUCAUGUUGGCACAACGGCCUCAACUUAAACAACUUAAUAAAAAUCCAGUCUAAACAGUCUUCAACAUAAAAGUCAUAAUAAAUCACGUAAUAUAUGGAAAACAAUAAAGAUCCCCAUCCCGUUACGUAUCAGAGCACCUAAGACUCAUGUGUACAAUAACUAACAGCUACUACUCUGCAUCACCUGCAAGUUACCCAUACGAAGGGCAACAUUUCCAAGCAGAAGGGGUGAGAUUCACAAACAAUAAUAAUAAGCAUAUAAUUCAUUAAUUACAUUUAACAACUUAAACUUUAUCAAUUUAUAAUAAUAAUUCUUCGUAUAGUACUUCAUUAAAUCAUCAAUCAACUUCUAGUCAACGUUAAUAUCAUAUUCAUCACAUCAUGUAAAUUCAUCAUAUAACAACAUAAUCAUCACAUCAUAAACCUCAUUGUAUAACAACAUAAUUCAUCAUAUCAUAAACAUCUUCUCAUAAUAAUAUAGACAACACAACAUAAUCAUCACCUCAUAAUAACAUAGUCAACACAACAUAACCAUCAACUUAUAAUAAUGUAAACAACAACAAAUCAUCAUAAUAAUGUUCUUACUUCUUUAACUUUAGUAACACUUACUAAUUCAACCAACAACGACGACAACAACAAGAUUCUACAACAACGACAACAACUCACUCAACAACAACGAUGACAACUCAAUCAACAGCAACGACAACAACUCACUCAACAACAACGAUGACAACGACAAUGCAACCAACAACAACGACAACUCAACAUAUGCAACUUCAACUUCUUAAUCAUGCAUGUGGUACCAACCAGGGCAUCAAGCCCUCAACGUAUUGAGCGUAACUAGGCUCACAGGGCAUCAAGUCCUCAACUUACAGGGCAUCAAGCCCUCAACAUAAUAUGUAUAAAUAUACAUUACAGGGCAUCAAUCCCUCAACUUAAAUGAGUAUGCAAUGGACUCAACAUUUGUGUAUAUCAACAUACAACUCAGCAACAUCAACGACAACGUAGACAACGACAACAACAACUGUGGAUAAAUAAUUAUGACUUACUCCACAACUUGGUCAACUCAAUGAUAUUAAUAAUCAACAUCAGCAUUAACAGCACAAACAAUUCACAUCAUAACAAUAUUGUGCUCGUGAUUUUUGGAUGUCAAACCAUUAAUUGAUUUGAAUCGUCAAUCUUUGAACUCUCAAUUUUUAUUUGUGGGAAGGGAAAAAAUGAGUAAAAACCCUUAUCGAGACUUUGGAUUCGGGGGUUGAUUACGCGAAGGGAAGGUGCUAGCACCCUAAGCAUCUAUGGUAUCCCAUAGGAACCUCUUACCUAGAUUAUCUUGUGCUAAAUUCAUUUGCUUACUUGAAAAUUUAUUACCUAAAAAUCUAAGUGAAAGAAUGGAGGGAGAAGAAGUAUGUUUUUGGUUAUUUUUAUUUGAUUUGGAAGGAUAAAAGUCCUCUGCCUACAUACCCUUAAAGAAAAGGGAUCAAAACCAAUGUAGUUCACCUAAAAAGUUUCUUUUUGGUGGGUUGGUUGAUUUUAAAUUUUAGAAAAUGGUUUUAAGAAGGGAUAAGAGGCCUCAAGGCAUGAGAGAAAAUAAGGUGAGGUUGGUCAAAUUUUAAUUACAAGAAAAUCAAGUCUAGUAUGAAUAUUAAUUCAAUUAAGCAUUUGAUUAAGAAAAUAAAAGGAAAAAGCAUUUGAUUAAUAAGUCUAGUAUUUUUUUUUAUAACAUAAGAGCAAAAUAAAAAAAUAAAUACCUUGAAAUUGAAAGGGACAGAAAGGAGUAGAAAAAGAACAAAGACACGUCAACACAAGUCAAAGAAGGGAGAAGAGAGCAAAAAGCACAGGAAGCAUCAACUGUGAAUUUCGGAGUCCAGAAUGCAUUGUGUGAGCCCUCUAUUUAUAGAGAAACUUCACAACUAAUAGGUGAGAAACUUUGGGAACAAGUAAUUCAUCUAAUACAAAAAUAUGCCAAUUAUCUACCAAAAUAUAUCAUAUUGAGUACAAAAAUAUAUUAUUCAGUACAUAAAUAUAUAUUAUUGAGUAUCAAAAUAUAUUUCAGAUCAAGCACUAAAAUAUAUUAGAUUGCCUACCAAAAUAUAUCAUAUUGAGUACAAAAAUAUAUUAUUCAGUACAUAAAUAUGNUCAAAUAUAGUCUUUAAUAGUAUUAUCAAUGUAUUUAAAAAUAUGAAAAGUUAAUGUUAGAUAUAUUUUAUACAUAAAAAAUAGUUUAAUAAUAAUCACAUACAUCCGUGACAAAUUUAUUAUUCUAACAACGUUAAUAUCCAUAAAUUUUAUAAAUAAUCUUAUUUAAAGGGGGCAAGGGAAGGGUAAAUAAUUGAAAAUGACCUCACAUAACAACAAUUCACAAUAUUAUUUUCUCUAAGCCCAUAAUUGAAUGAGAAUGUGUCAGCCUGGGGUCCAUGUAAUUAUAUCAUAUUUUCUUAGCAAGUCUGUGUUUUGAAAUGUCAUUUACGUUCAAACCUUCUUUUACUAAAUGAUAUAUUUUGAAGGCUUAAUUGCUCUUUUGGUCCCUUAACUUAUUUUUUGGUUUCGUUUUGAUCCCUUAACUAUUAAAAGUUUCGUUUUGGUCCCUUAACUUACUUUUUGGUUUCGUUUUGGUCCCUUAACUAUUAAAAGUUUCAUUUUGGUGCUUUAACUUACUUUUUGGUUUCGUUUUGGUCCCUUAACUCUUCCUCCGUCAACCACUUUGGUCCUUUAUGUUAGGAUGAAUGUAUUAGAGUUAAGGGACCAAAAUGAAACCAAAAAAUAAGUUAAGGGACCAAAACGAAAUCAAAAAAUAAGUUAAGAAACCAAAACGAAACUUUUAAUAGUUAAGGGACCGAAAGAAAACCCAAAAAUAAGUUAUGGGACCGAAACGAAACUUUUAAUAGUUAAGGAACCAAAACGAAACCAAAAAAUAAGUUAAGGGACCAAAAGAAUAAUUAAACCUAUUUUAAAAAAGAGUAAUGAUGUUUGUAUAAGUAUGAGCAGUGCUAUAUGUCCCGAACAAUUCUAUCACAAGAGGCCGCAAAAUAAUAAGUAGCCAAUCAAAGUUGCACCUGGCCAGCAAACACAGCAUAUCUGUUGUUAAUCAAUUUUUUUUUUUUUUAAGUGAGUCAAAUUCUUAUAACAUCCAAUAGACACUAAAUUGCCACCUCACUCGGGAACACAUUCACUAACUCCAUUUUGCUAUAUCUAACACUAUCUUAUAAUUAUUUUAUAAUAACUUUUAGACCAUUCUUUUUACUCAUAUUUACACGAUAUUUUUAUCAUCUCUAUUCAUUUUUUCUCUAUUACUUUUGAACAAUAAAAAAGAAUUUAAAGUUGUCACAAAAGUUAUCAUCAAAUCGUUACACAAAUAGCUACAGAUACAUGAAUGACUCAAGAUAUGCAUAUACAAAAGAGUAGUUCAUCAAAGAGAGGAAGCCUACCAAAGAGUGACAUUGCUGGAUCUUUAAUCUUCUAGAAACUUACACUAAGUUGACUGUAAAUCUGAAAAAAAAAAUAUAAGAUAAAGGGGUAAGUCAGGUGGCAUUUAGGGUGGGUAGAAGGAAUUCUUUCCCACCAUGGGAAAGGCACUUUUCGACCUCUAGAUCAAAUAGAGAGCACACUUUUAUAGUGGACCCUCACUACUAGAUUUUUUUUCAAAAGAAAAAUAAAACAUUUUUUUUGUUGAAAAAGGAAAAAAAUUAGGGAAAUGGUGGAUGAUUAACAUCAACUAAAUUGUUCAAAAUCAUUAACAAUCUUGAAAACAACAACAUUCAUCAUCAUAUGAAGCAUAUUCCUCAAUAUCUUUUCAUACCCAUCACUCCAAAUUUCUUACACAUUCAAUUUCUUCAAUUCCCAUAACAACAACAUGGCUUAUUCUCUCUUUUUCCAAACAUCUUUAUUAAAAUACUCUCCUACUAUUGUUCAAUUGAAAUUUCAUUUUAAACAUAAAUUCUUCUUCUUCUUUUGUUCGAUUACUUAAUAAUUUCAACAAUGGUAGUUUUGAGGAUGCCAUAGUGUUGUUAAUUAAAUUUUUUUGGGGGGGAGUGAGGAUAAUAGGAAAAUUUCUUGGUUAAGUUGGCAAACUGUUUGUUUAAAAGAGGAGUAUGACGGUUUGGGGGUGCGGAAGUUGAAGGAGUUUAAUUUAACUUUGUUAGGAAAAUGGUGUUGGCGGAUGUUGGUGGACAUAGGUGGUUUGUGGUAUAGGGUUUUAGUCGCCAGGUAUGGCGAAAUAGGUGGCAGGUUGGAGGUUGGGGGCCGGAGUGUUUCUUGCUGGUGGUCGGAGGUGAGGCGACUUAGGGAUAGGGUAGGCGAUGGUGGUAGCGGGUGGUUUGAGGAUCAGGUGUUGAGGAGAGUUGGUGAUGGGGUUGACACUUCGUUUUGGUCUGAUAGGUGGAUAGGGGAGGCUCCUCUUUGUGUGCGGUUUAGGCGGUUGUUUGAGUUAACAGAG